rnacentral:rRNA from 1 species
CCUACGGGGGGCAGCAGUAGGGAAUAUUGCUCAAUGGGGGAAACCCUGAAGCAGCAACGCCGCGUGGAGGAUGAAGGUUUUCGGAUUGUAAACUCCUUUUGUUAGAGAAGAUAAUGACGGUAUCUAACGAAUAAGCACCGGCUAACUCCGUGCCAGCAGCCGCGGUAAUACGGCGGGUGCAAGCGUUACUCGGAAUAACUGGGCGGAAAGAGCGCGUAGGCGGGAUAGCAAGUCAGAUGUGAAAUCCUAUGGCUUAACCAUAGAACUGCAUUUGAAACUGUUAUUCUAGAGUAUGGGAGAGGUAGGUGGAAUUCUUGGUGUAGGGGUAAAAUCCGUAGAGAUCAAGAGGAAUACUCAUUGCGAAGGCGACCUGCUAGAACAUAACUGACGCUGAUGCGCGAAAGCGUGGGGAGCAAACAGGAUUAGAUACCCCGGUAGUC